rnacentral:rRNA from 1 species
UACGAAGGACCCGAGCGUUAUCCGGAUUUAUUGGGUUUAAAGGGUGCGUAGGCGGACUUGUAAGUCAGUGGUGAAAUCCUGCGGCUUAACUGCAGAACUGCCAUUGAAACUGCUUGUCUUGAGUACAUUUGAAGCGGGCGGAAUGUGUCAUGUAGCGGUGAAAUGCUUAGAUAUGACACAGAACACCGAUUGCGAAGGCAGCUUACUAUGGUUUUAUUGACGCUGAGGCACGAAAGCGUGGGGAUCAAACAGG